CAAGUUGAUGAAAGUCAAGAGACGAGCAAUACUUAUCAAAAUAAAUAAAAUGAAACACAAACUAGCCCCCAAAAAACACUAAUGACGUUUUAUUCAUAAUUUUGCGCCAUUAGAGCGAAUGCCGGGAAAUCCAAUAUCCCCUUAAAACACAUGAAAACACUUUUGUAAGACAAUUCAAACCCGUAAAAACAGUAACCACAUUUUCAUCAAGUAUUCUCCGCCAUUAAAACACAAUCAAAAAAAUAAAUAAGGAAAUAACACUAUGCAGGUCAAAGAAGAAGAAGAGGAAGACAAGAUGGCCGCCGACCUCUGCCCCAGCCGAGCCAGUCCACACUUUUUCGCCAUUCCAAGCCUUGUGGAGGGUGUGAGGUCUGUUAGGAAGUGACAAUCGUUCUCUCAGCCUUUCGACACCACAAGCAGCCGCCGGGAACCCUGCUGGACAUACGGGGAAGGCGAUCAAGGCUGUGUGUCCCUGCCUCCCUGAUGCCUGGGGGCAGACUCCUGGCUGGUGGCUGUCCUCCUCUCACCUCCUGCCUCCACAUGUCUUCUCAAAGGUCCCUGCUUUCCCCUGACGGUGGUGGUCUCCUUGCUCCCGGGUGGUUGUCUUCACAUUUUUCUGCCUCCGCCUCCACAGUGCUUCCCAAAGGUUCCCCAAACACCACGACAGGCCAGCUGAGAAACAGAGCCUGGAGACACCCUCUUCCUCGGGGACCUUUCCUCAUGGCACCCUAACCUCCCUCCAAGAGACUCCCUCCCCACCCAACAACCCAUCCCUCCCUCCUCCCCUCAGUGCCAGGCACAUUCUCCCCUCCCAAAGUCUCCCGUCCCAUCCCAACAACCCAUCCAUAUUCUUCACUUGGUGGGCAAUGCUUGGCUGCUUGCCUUCUGAGACCUUCCUCAUGUACUUGGCAAUAUAGCCGUAGUGUUAA